rnacentral:lncRNA from 1 species
UUAGACCUUCAGCACAAUGGCUAGCCCAGCUUCUCAAUUCUUGAUAAUCAAUUUAUUUCCGGUGAUCAAGAACUCUUCUUCUGUACCUUCAUGUCAUGAGUUUUCAUUUCAUGUCCCAGCUCUUCCUCUUCCUAGGAUUCAGGGACAAAUCAUCUGCAAGGAGGGGAGAGUUGAGAGAUCUCAACCCUUUUUUUUUUAAUAAACCAAAUUCUACCCUGAACUGAUUCAAACCAGAACUCACCU